GCAGUGGUGGUUCAGUGAUAGAAUUCUUGCUUUCCAUGAGGGAUACCUGGGUUCGAUUCCUGGUCAAUGCG
rnacentral:tRNA from 1 species